UCGGGAAUAUUGCGCAAUGGACGAAAGUCUGACGCAGCGACGCCGCGUGGGGGAUGAAGGUCUUCGGAUUGUAAACCCCUUUCGGGAGGGAAGAUGGAACGAGCAAUCGUUCGGACGGUACCUCCAGAAGCAGCCACGGCCAACUUCGUGCCAGCAGCCGCGGUAAUACGAAGGGGGCAAGCGUUGUUCGGAUUCACUGGGCGUACAGGGUGUGUAGGCGGUUUGGUAAGCCUUCUGUUAAAGCUUCGGGCCCAACCCGGAAAGCGCAGAGGGUACUGCCAGGCUAGAGGGCGGGAGAGGAGCGCGGAAUUCCCGGUGUAGCGGUGAAAUGCGUAGAGAUCGGGAGGAAGGCCGGUGGCGAAGGCGGCGCUCUGGAACGUACCUGACGCUGAGACACGAAAGCGUGGGGAGCAAAC
rnacentral:rRNA from 1 species